GACAGAGGGUGCAAACGUUGCUCGGAAUUACUGGGCGUAAAGCGCGUGUAGGCGGACCCACAAGUCGGACGUGAAAGCCCUGGGCUCAACCCAGGAACUGCAUCCGAAACUGUGGGUCUGGAGUGGUGGAGAGGGAAGCAGAAUUCCUGGUGUAGAGGUGAAAUUCGUAGAUAUCAGGAGGAACACCGGUGGCGAAGGCGGCUUCCUGGACACUGACUGACGCUGAGACGCGAAAGCGUGGGGAG
rnacentral:rRNA from 1 species